rnacentral:rRNA from 1 species
UACGGAGGGGGCUAGCGUUGUUCGGAAUUACUGGGCGUAAAGCGCACGUAGGCGGCUUUGUAAGUUAGAGGUGAAAGCCCGGGGCUCAACUCCGGAAUUGCCUUUAAGACUGCAUCGCUAGAAUUGUGGAGAGGUAAGUGGAGUUCCGAGUGUAGAGGUGAAAUUCGUAGAUAUUCGGAAGAACACCAGUGGCGAAGGCGACUUACUGGACACAUAUUGACGCUGAGGUGCGAAAGCGUGGGGAGCAAACAGG